UGGAUAUUAGCAGGACUUGUUUCCACUGCACCACAACAGAAAUUCCAAUACUACUAUUUUUGCUUUAGGUAGUUAUCUUUCAGAGCAAUUAAAAAUAAUAAAAAAAUGAAAUUUUAACUUUGUGUACCUUAAGUUGUUCCAUUUCUAAUGCUCUUAAUUUCUUUGUGUAGAUUCAGAUGUCUGUCUGCUACUAUAAUAUUCCUUCUGUCUGAACAACUUUCUUUAACAUUACUUGUAGUGUGGGUCUACUGACAAUGAAUUCAUUCAGAUUUGUUUUUUGUUUGGGGUUCAGGAAAGCCUUUAUUUCUGCUUUUUUUUUUUUUUUAAAGCUUCUCCUGCAGCAUGCAGAAGUUCCCAGGCCAGGGAUCAAAUCCACACCAUAGAAGCAACCAGAGCGACUCUCCUUUCUUCUUGAAAGACAUUUUUGCUGGGUAUAGGAUUCUGACUUGAUAGGUUUUUGUUGUUGUUCAGCUAUAGAGACCUCAUUCCUCAUCUUCUAUGUUGUGUAGUUUCUGGAGAAGUCUGCUGUAACACUUUCAUUUUUAUUUCUCUGUGUGUUACUUGUCCUUUUUUCUGGCUGCCUCAUAACUUCCACUGUCUCUGGUUUUCAGCAGCUUGAAUAUGAUAUGCCUGUGGUAUGGGAUUGAUUUUGGGAGGGGAACAUUUAUUCUGCUUGGUGUUUUUUGAAUGUCUUGGAAUUGUUUAGUGUCUGUCAUUCAUUUUAGAAAAUUCUUGUGUAUUUUCCCUUGCGUUUUUUUCUUCCCAGAUGCCAGUUGCACAUAGGUUGGAUCUUCUGGUAUUGUCCCCUAUCUCCUGGGUGCUCUGUUGUGUUUUUUACCCACUGUCUCUUCUUCCUCACUGUUCUGCAGUUCAUACCAGCACUGUUGUAAAUCCAGUGUCCACAUAUGUGAGGGUCAGACUGAAGAAACUUUGUCACUGUUGUGUCCUCUCUUAUUCUCCAAAUCCUGUGGGUUUAUCCCUUUAAAAGAUUGUUCUCUGCCAUUACAGCCUCUUGGAAGGGAGUCAGAGUAGAUGCACAUAGGCCGUCUGCCAUCUUUAUGUGGAGAUGAAGAUAAACAGAGCACAGAAGAUUAAGUAAUUUUUCCAAAGAUGCAGAAAUAGAAAAUGACAGAACUUGGCUUCUUAGCCACUAUAUUCUAGCUGCCUCCAACACAUGGGAAGAUAGUAGCUUUCAGGGAACAAAAUUAUUCAUCUUGAUACAGCAAGUCUUCAAUGAUGUCAAUAGGAAAACAGCCACAGCCAUGCUAAAGGCUUCAAGCACCACCGGUUUUGUCCAGAGGAGGCCAUGGUUAUUCUGGUGAAGUACAAGGCCGAGGUCAUUUUGAGCCGUCACUCUCUUGAGGGUCCGAGUCUAUGAAGCAGAAUAAGCUCAGGACCUACAGCACUGGACCUCUAGGAGGGCAACCUCACCAGCAGAUGAGGUCCUGAUGGAUGAUUCCUAAUUAUGGAGUCCUUUUCAUCUCUCAGUUUAUAUUCUGAGUUUUUACCUAGAAUAAAUUCUACUGUUUCUCAUUAACGCA